rnacentral:rRNA from 1 species
GACAGAGGGUGCAAACGUUGUUCGGAAUUACUGGGCGUAAAGCGCGUGUAGGCGGUCGUGCAAGUCGGGUGUGAAAGCCCUCGGCUCAACCGGGGAAGUGCACUCGAAACUGCAUGACUAGAGUCUCGGAGAGGAUAGUGGAAUUCUCGGUGUAGAGGUGAAAUUCGUAGAUAUCGAGAGGAACACCGGUGGCGAAGGCGGCUAUCUGGACGAUGACUGACGCUGAGACGCGAAAGCGUGGGGAGCGAACAGG